GCCGGGUGUGGUGGCGCGUGCCUGUGGUCCCAGCUACUUGGGAGGCUGAGGCUGGAGAAUCGCCUGAACCUGGGAGGCAGAGGUUGCAGUGAGCCGAGAUCAUGCCACUGUACUCCAGCCUGGCGACAGAGCAAGACUCAUCUCAAAAAAAAAAAAAAACUUUUGUUCAGUAGAGAGAAAAGCUUUUUUUUUUUUUAAAUGGAAUUUCACUCUGUCGCCCAGGCUGGUGUACAGUGGCAUGAUCUCUGCUUACUACAGCCUCUGCCUCCCAGGUUCAGGCAGUUCUCCUGCCUCAG
rnacentral:SRP_RNA from 1 species